CUUUUUUGAGAUUUGAAUUUUCCCUAGCAAAGCGAGAGAAGUAAAAUACCCGGAUGUUGAGCUCUGCUCUUUUCGCGCCAAUAUUUUUAUCCAAUUGCAAUUACUCAUUUGACAAAGGCCAGAGACGAGCCCCUGCUCAUAAAGCUGUAACACCAAGAGCUGCAAUUGCACCCGUGGCUGGGAAGCAGCUGUUUUCCUGGCCAGAGCACUCAGCAGAAGUUGACAGGAUCUGACUCCUAUCACCAGUUAACCAUUCUGCUGGCUGGAAGACAGAAGAGUCGGGAUAACAUAAGUAUCAUGGAGCAACAUAUGGGUGUAGGGAAGGAUGCAGAGACACCAGGAGAUCAAACCCAGGGCCUUACAAAGGCUUUACCAUUGUGCUGCACCCCACACUAGGAACUUCUGAUUCUAGACAAGUAAAUAAAGUAAUCUGAGACAUGAAGAACAGGGAGGAGGAGGAGAGGCAAGUCUUAUGUGAAAGAAGAGAGACCUCCCAAAUGCUGGAAUCAGAGGCGUGUGCUACCAUACUCAGCUGAACUUUGAGAAUCUUGAAGACAAUUGUUCACCACUAUCAGAAAUGACAGUUCACUAUAUAGCUACAAGAAGUGAAUGUGUGGUACUGGCACAGUGGCAGAGAAACUAAAGCUACCAGAAAAAGAAGAUACAGCUUCCAGCUCCUUCAUGAAGACUCCACAUUGAUUCACAGGCACAGCUUUUUCUAGCUGGUGUGGAAUAAAGAGGAUUUCCAUGUGGGGCAUCUUAAUUCCUGCCUGCCCUGACAAGUCAACAGUUUAUGAGGUCAAUUUGAAAGCUGUGUGUAAUCACAGCACUCAGGAAGCCGAAGUAAGAAUCUUAAGUUCAAGGGAAACCUGGGUAGCACAGUGAAAUUCUGUCUCAAAACAAAACAAAAACAAAAACAAAACAAACAAACAAACAAACAAAAAAACCAAAAGAAAAACAAGAACAAGAAGAAAAAAAAAAACAACCAAAAAUUAACUUGAGAUGCAGCCCAAUUUAACUAUGAAAAGAAAAACAAAACAAAACCAAACAAACAAACAAAGAAACAAAAAACCACAAAGAUUAGCUGAGCAUGGUACCCUUUAAUCCCAGAACUAGGGAUGCAGAGGCAUGCAGUUUAAGGACCAGCAAAAUGAGUUCCAAGACAGCCAGAAUUAUGUAGAGAGAUACUCUCAAAAAAAUUACCAUCAGGGGCUGGAGAGAUGGCUUAGUGAGUAAGAGCACUGUCUGCUCUUCCAGAGGUCCUGAGUUCAAUUCCCAGCAACCACAUAGUGGCUCACAAGCAUCUAUAAUGAGAUCUGGUGCCCUCUUCUGGCGUGCAGGCACACAUGCAGGCAGAACAUUGUAUACAUAAUAAAUCUUUCUAUUGCUGUGAUAUACACCAUGUCCAAAAGCAACUUGUGGAUGAAAGGAUUCAUUUCAUUUACGACUCCCAGAUUACAGUCUGUUCCUGAGGGAAAUCAGGGAAAAACUCAAGGCAGGAUCCUGGAGGCAGUCGCUAAAGCACAGGCCAUGGAGGAACACUGUUUUACUGCCUUGCUCCUCCUGGCUUUUUCACCUUGGUUUCUUAUGCAACACAGGACCACCUGCCCAAGGGUGGUACCAGCUACAGUGGGCACCACCCUCAGCUUUCUGUGCUAAUCUUCUCUGUAUCGUUCCAAUUUUAGUAUAUGUGCUGCCGAAGCAAGCACAAAUAUUCAUUUCUCUUAUUUUUUUAAUUAUGUGUAGGGGGGUAUUUACACAUAAAUGCAAGUGCCCACAGAGAUCAGAGGUGUGAGAUCCCCUUGGAGUUGGAAGCUUCUAGCCUCCAUAUAAUCUAAUUUAGGCCUAGAAUGUUUUCAUCCUCCAAGACUUACUGCUGAAUAAGCUCACCCUUUCUAGCUCUUUCUGAACUCUGGCUGGUUGGUUCAGCUCAGCUCUUCUGGCUCAAAACUCCUCUCCAAGCUGACUGUUUCAAACUGUCUUCUCUCCACUUCUCACAGAAUUACUCUGCUUUGGAAAACUGCCUCUGAAUUCCAUAAACUGAACUGCAUUGUACUGUAUUGUAUUCCUAAACUCUACUGUACUGUCUCCCCAAACCUCUUGCUCUCUCUCUGCAUUGCUCUUAAGGAACUUCUCUUUCCUGUGAGAAUUGGGUGUAUCCUAUCUCUGACUGAUUCUGUGAAAUCUUUCUCUGAUUAUCACUUGUCUGUCCCUCAAGUAGACAUUAUUGCUUGGGAUUAAAGGUGUGUACUAAAGGUGUGUAUGUAUUCUAGCCAGAGUGAUUAAAAUUGUGUCUUGUCAAUAUUCUAGCCAGAGGGAUUAAAUAAGGGUGUGUCUGUAUUUCAGCCAGAUCCCACAGACCUAGGUCUUUGGAUAGGGUCCCUUGCCAGAGUAGCCAUAGAGAAAAUUCCUCUACUUCUCCCUUUCUGUUUACCCUACAAAUCAUUCACAGUUUAAUUAUUACAACAGAAACAAUUAUCAAUCCCAGAAUUUAACAGUUGAAAUGAAAUGUCCUUAUGAAGACCCGUUGAUGUGGUGUUCAUUCAUAAUUUCAGUCCUGAUCAUCUGUUCUUCAGCAAAUGUGUAUUUCAGCAUCAAGGUUUUCCAGCCUGCCAGCCAGAUGAAUAAUCUGUCCUUCUUCAACUGACAGAGCUAUCUCCAUGGAGAGGGAUCAGCUUUUUGCAUUGUCUGCAUUGCUGUUUUUCCGCAUCUCUUCCAUGAGUGGUGCCUUUAAUGUAGAAGCUUCUCUUACUUAGAUCAGAUCUUUAUCAAUUUUGAUGGAACCCAUAAUUUUUCAUCCCCUGUGGAAAUAUAGGCCUCUUGCCCAACGAAACAUAUUCUCUAACUUCCAUUCUGAUGUCAAAACAUCUUUAAAUUAUCCAGGUUGUUCUAAUUCAGUAGUUUUUCUGCAACACAGUGUCUUUCAGCAGCUGUU